GGCAGUCUACGGGGGGCAGCAGUGAGGAAUAUUGGUCAAUGGGCGGAAGCCUGAACCAGCCAAGUCGCGUGAGGGAAUAAGGCCCUACGGGUCGUAAACCUCUUUUGCCGGGGAGCAAGGGCCGGGACGAGUCCCGGUCCGGAGAGUACCCGGAGAAAAAGCAUCGGCUAACUCCGUGCCAGCAGCCGCGGUAAUACGGAGGAUGCGAGCGUUAUCCGGAUUUAUUGGGUUUAAAGGGUGCGUAGGCGGGCUUUUAAGUCAGCGGUAAAAAUUCGGGGCUCACCCCCGUCCGGCCGUUGAAACUG
rnacentral:rRNA from 1 species